rnacentral:rRNA from 1 species
CGUAGGGUGCAAGCGUUGUCCGGAAUUAUUGGGCGUAAAGAGCUCGUAGGCGGCUUGUCGCGUCUGCUGUGAAACCAGAGGCUCAACCUCUGGCCUGCAGUGGGUACGGGCAAGCUAGAGUGCGGUAGGGAGAUUGGAAUUCCUGGUGUAGCGGUGGAAUGCGCAGAUAUCAGGAGGAACACCGAUGGCGAAGGCAGAUCUCUGGGGCCGUAACUGACGCUGAGGAGCGAAAGCAUGGGAGCGAACAGGAUU